CAAAGUCUUGUCAUGGACUUGUGCUCUGCUUGGGUUUUUUUUAUUUUCGAUGAGAUCAGUGCGAGCAUGGGUUUUGGAAUUCUCCUCUCCCAGCUAACAUCAGUGAGCGACAGUCCUUUGCAGCAGCAGCCCAGUAAAUGGGCACUGCGGAUAAUGGCAAAACCAUCCACGGACAAAGCCCAGUAAAGCCGAGGACAAAGAGAGCAGUGCAAGACAAGGAGAGACAGAGACACGUGGAGCCUACGUGGACACAGAGUUGCACAGACAAAGGUGAGACAGAAUCAGAGUAAUUUAUAUUGGCUGGAGGAGGAAUCCGGUGAGCAAUAAAGCUCUUUUUCACAGAUGUUCAGUAUUGGCGGGUCAGCGAGUUACAACAGCAAAUACAAAAAAUAAAGCUGGGAGUGCAAAAUAGAAAAAUGGUAAGAAAGCCACCGAAUAUAAAUAAAUAUUAAAUGAUGUCUGAUUUAUCAAGAUUGGUCAAAGCUGCAAAAACAGCAAGCAGUACCAGACCACACCAUAAUAACAACACACAGUAGUAGUCCUCAAUAAAAUGGCACGUUAGCAUUGCACUAUUGAUACUACACGGGUAAUCAUCAAAGUAAAUAAUCGCAUUGGCAAAUGUGACUGCUGUAUCCAGCACCGAUCUUCUGCUUCUGAGAUAAAGAGACUCAGAGACGUGGAGACACACAGAGACAGAAACAUAGCGACUGGAAUGUAUUGGCCAACGGUGUUGAAUGAUGCAAUAAAAACAAUAAACAAGAUAUUGGCGUCACAGGAAUGCUGGCUGUGAUGUAAUUUAUUUCACAACGUAUUGAAAUGCCUGCAGUGCAAACAAAGUUUGUUGUUUUAGUGUUUUAUUUUUAUUUAGAUUAUUGGUCCUUUGGGACAAGAGCCAACACAUUGUUUUGUACUUACACGCGAUUAUGUAUUUGCAAGUGCGAAAUGUCAGAUGAAAAUUGUAUGGUUCUACAUCCAAAAUGAAAAUACAAAUAAAUACGUAUUUUCUGUGCACAAAUCGCAGAAGGUAAAUACUACAGAGCGCACUACCGUUGGGAGUAACACAUACACACUUUUCACAGAAAGGUCAGCAAUCAUCUUGGGAGACUAAACCAGGUUACCUACUCAAUGAGCCAUGAAGUAAGACUAAACUUUUUUAGAUUUUAUUUUACCAGCUAAGGCCCACCAAGCUAUGUAGCUCUUUUUCAGAAGCGACUUGGCUAUCAUAAAUGAUAGCUCAACGAAGUGGUGGCUUAUCAUGUGGUCCUCCGGUGUUUCAAUCCACAUUCAGAAUCAACACGUGCUUAGAGUAUUUGGCUGCUAGAAAUGUCUAUGUGAUGAUAAGCCACUUCGUUGAACUAUCAAGUGGCCAGGUCGCUUUUUAAAACGAUCUAUAUUGCUCAGUGGGUCUUACCUGGUAAAAUAAGAAUUGUUUAUUUUUUUUGGUUGUUAUGCAAAUGUAGUAGUAUUUUUCCACUAUCGCGUCUGUCACUCUUCCCUCGAUCACCACCUGUUCCCGAGGACUCGUCGAAACUCAAUUCGAACCGCAAACACGUGAGGCUCGAGUUUUAGUUACUCACCCGGGACGUCCGGGUGAGCCAGUGUCCGUGUGUUUCUCUGUGUGUUUUAUUUGGCAACUGUGAGGAUGGCCAUCUAUUCACUCAUUUCAUGGCUUCAUUUGAAUUUCUGUCUGCUGCGUUCAUUUCAAUGCAUAUCUGUUUAAUUGUUUUAUUGAUGUCUGUGUGUCUAUGUUGGUAAAUUUUUUGGGGAGUGGUAGUUUAGCGGUUAGCGCGCUGCGCUACAAACCCAGUUACCCGAGUUUGAUUCCCGCUCACGGCCAACACCAGUGACGACUAUCUGAACUGGUCAUUCACCUUCCCUAGGUCGACUCAGCCUCAAAUUAGUUCCUGGUGCGAUGUGUAAACAUUGUCACUCAGGAGACAAGGUGGCCGGGCGUGGUGCCAUGCCGGCCUGCAUAUGUGCUCGCUAACAGCAAUUGCCCUAACAGUCUGUUCAGGCUAAACGGGGGAUAUUUGUCUUUGUGUAUUUGUUAUUUCAGUCGUCAGGCGCCUCGUCUGUUGAACUUCUUGCCCCAGUCUGUUAGGGAUGCUCCAUCAGUCGAGGUUUUUAAGGCUCGUCUGAAAACCCAUUUAUUUUCUCUUGCAUAUCCGUCUCCAUUUUAAUGUUAAGGGCUUUUUUACUGGGAUUGUAUUGUAAAGCGCUGCCAAUGCCUUGUGUGAAUGGCGCUAUAUAAAAUUGACUUACUCUCAACCGUGUGUUGUGCGUGUGCCUCAUUGAUUUGAAAAUUUCCGCGGCGCGCCUGGGACUUUGCCGCGACGCACCGGUGUGUGACGGCCACGCACUGGGAUCGACCCGCCUCGUCUCCCCAAACCGAGUUCAACCGCCAACCAACUCGCGUGGGCGGCUUCGUACACUGUGCGAAAGAAGUUCAACAAGCGACCUGGCUAUCACAAAUGAUAGCUCAAGGAAGUGGCUCAUCAUCACGUGGACCUUUGUAGCAGCCAAAUACUCUUAAACGCAUGUUUCUAAAUGUGG